ACGAGCGAGUGCUUAAAACUCAAAGAACUUGGCGGCUUGUUAACUACCUAGGGGAAUAUGCGCCUUAAUCCGAUGGUCCCCGCAACAUCUUACUGGAUCUUGAAAAAGUGCAGUUGGUGUAUUGCCGUUGUCAGCUUGUUGUUCGAGCAAGGAAAACCAGGCUUAAUGGGUCUCUAGUGAUUAGGGUCACGAGAAUCCGCGAAUUCAGGUCGUAAUGCUGCCUACGGUCCAAGGGAGUGGGUAUUACAAUUUAUAUUUAAAAUUACGGAUCUUUAUUGUGAAACUUUAGGGAAGAAGGUGAACUUAGGAGUAA
rnacentral:rRNA from 1 species